rnacentral:misc_RNA from 1 species
UCUCCGUAGGUGAACCUGCGGAGGGAUCAUUAAAAAUGAAGCCGGGAAACCGGUCCUUCUAACCCUUGAUUAUCUUAAUUUGUUGCUUUGGUGGGCCGCGCAAGCACCGGCUUCGGCUGGAUCGUGCCCGCCAGAGAACACAGCUCUGUAUCAAAUGUCGUCUGAGUACUAUAAAAUAGUUAAAACUUUCAACAACGGAUCUCUUGGUUCUG